rnacentral:rRNA from 1 species
UACGUAGGGUGCGAGCGUUGUCCGGAAUUACUGGGCGUAAAGAGCUCGUAGGUGGUUUGUCGCGUUUGUUCGUGAAAACCGGGGGCUUAACCCUCGGCGUGCGGGCGAUACGGGCAGACGUUGAGUACUGCAGGGGAGGACUGGAAUUCCUGGUGUAGCGGUGGAAUGCGCAGAUAUCAGGAGGAACACCGGUGGGCGAAGGCGGGUCUCUGGGGCAGUAACUGACGCUGAGGAGCGAAAGCGUGGGGAGCGAACAGG